rnacentral:rRNA from 1 species
UACGGAGGGUGGAAGCGUUAUCCGGAAUCACUGGGUUUAAAGGGUGCGUAGGCGGUUCGAUAAGGCAGAGGUGAAAGCUAGCAGCUUAACUGUUAAAUUGCCUUUGAUACUGUUGGACUUGAAUCAAGUUGAGGUAGGCGGAAUGUGACAUGUAGCGGUGAAAUGCAUAGAUAUGUCAUAGAACACCAAUUGCGUAGGCAGCUUGCUGGGCUUGAAUUGACGCUGAGGCACGAAAGCGUGGGGAUCAAACAGG